CGGAAACUCACUUCUGACUGUAGCAGAAGGACUUUCACCAGUUUGGAUCAUUAUAAUGAUUUCUCUAACUAAUGGAUUGGACACCUGCAAUCUUUGAAGUUCUGACUGAUACAAGUGUGGGAUGACUGGUUACCCCUUCACAUCGCUCUUCCUGUGCAUAUAUGUCAGGUAUUGCAUUGACAUGCAUUGCUAAAGAACUAACAAAUGCAACUGGGAAGGUCCCAGAAGGGUCAGAAUAUCAGAAAGAAAGAGCUUUAUUGCCAAGUAUGCUUGUGCAUACAAGAAAUUAGUUUUAGUGACACAAGCUUCCAGUACACAGAGACAACAACACACAGACAAAAACAGACAAAUAUUGCUAAAUAAAUCGAGAAAUAAAUAAAUUGUAUGAACAGUUGUGCUAUAGAUGAUAAUGUAAUGGAAUAGAGUGAGAUGCACAAGCUUCCUUCGUCUCUGGGUGGGCAUUAUAAUUUACUUUAACUUGAUUUACUAAAAUAACUAAAACUGAAAUUAAAAUGAAUAAAAACUUUAAACAUGACAAAAUUACUAUAACUUACAAAUAUAAUACAAAAAAUAUAAAAUUACUAACUACAAAGGAAUAAAUAAUGACUAGUGAUGAAUCUGAUGGUGGUGUGAGAGGUCUCUGCAGCGCUGAUGGUCUGCUGGGUUCAGGAUGUUCAGUGUGAUGUCAUAUCCUGCAUCUGAAGCUUCCAGCGUCUCGUUCAUGUGUGCGAUCAUUAACACCAGCACUGCAGUGGAAAUAACCAUCAUCAUAACACGAUGACUAAAGCACUGGGAGUCUAAAAGGAAUAUUUCCCCCAGAAACAAACGCAGACUCGCCUCGACGGGCUUUCAGUGAUUGUGUGUUUAAUACAAGUUAAGACAUGUGACAGAAUCUCAGUGCAGUGAGACAGAGACGCACAGAACUAGUCCGUGCUGCUUCUCUAGUUUGAAGGAUCAUUAGAUGAUUCAGAUCGGGUAGAAGAUCAAGCAGUCAGCAUGUGUGUGUGUGUGUGUGUUCUGUGUGAUUUGGUGUGUGUUUCUGUGUGUGACGGUGUGUAUUUCUGUGAUUUCUCAGGCAGUGCGUGUAAGACUGUGGAUGUGAAGAUGACUUUCAUACCCAGAAUAAAUCACAUUUGCAUUCUUGUCUUUGCGUUCCGAUUGUUUCUGUUCUGAGGCUUCAUGAGAUGAUGAUCUCACACGAAGCAUUAGUCUCUCUGUGUCAGUGGAAUCUCGGGCCGUCUCAAGACGGCCAAAAAUGAUAAAGUCGGUUGCAUGACCUUUCUUGUUUUUGAGUGAUUACGUCCAUGUAUUGCACUUUCACCAGUGUCUGGUUAUUUGAACUGGUUUAGUCACAUGAGCGGAUUCACUGAGGCCCUCUAGUGGCUCCCUGCUUGAGAACUGAUGGUUUUGCUAAACCAGUAUUGAUGAUUGAUCAAUAUGGAUAUUUUGAUAGCUGAUAUCUUCGAGAGCAUAAUGGUUGAUAUAAAGCCGAUAUCACACUAGUAAAAACACAUGCAUAGCAUUUCUAUACAGCACAGCAUAGUUAAUAAUGCAGGGUUUAGAGAUCUGGAUCGUGUCCAGUGACAGCUGAACUCUCCUGUCAGUGAUUAAAUUGCACGGACUGACCGUUAAA
ensembl:lncRNA